UAAAAAUAAAAAUGGUAAAACCAGGUGAUAUUUGAACCUACUCAGGUUGGGAAAACCCUUCUGUAGAUUAGGACAUCUCAAACUUUAAUCUGAUUCAGUCUGGAAUGGGGCCUGAGACUCUGCAUUUCCAAAAAAGCUCCAAGGUUCUGUAGCUCUCUGGGGACCACACUUUGGGUAGCAAAGGUUCAGGGGAUACAAAUGAAAGAAUGGGUGGCCUUUCUCUAAAAUCUGCUAAGGACUGUACCUGAAAUCUACCAGCAGACGGGGACCUUAUUUACAAGUCCCUCUCCUCUUACCAGGUCACUUUCUUCAGGGCAGGUUUGGGUCUUUGUCAAUUCUCUAUCUCAACUCAGUGUCCAGUAUAUUAGGAGUACAAUAAAAGGGUUUUGAAUUUAAUAAAUACCAUGCUGUCCUUGGGGUGCAAGCUGUGAAGGAAACUGAAGGUGAGACAUUGCUAUAAUGCCGGCCUUCUGCCACCUCCAGUCAUAAAUUCCAAUUGGAUGGGGUCCAAUGUGAAGCUGUGUGUUACCCAAGCCUGCUCUGUAGGGGGUAGAGUCGAAGCAGGCCUCUGGAAUAUUAAUAAUUCUGAGCACUGACCACAGCUAUGAUACUUACAGACCCAUGGCGCACAGGGGAUAGCCCGAGGUUGCUCAUGCAGCUAUAGACUCCAAGGACUUCCCGUGCUCCAAAUGGAGCAGGUAUAGUGUCCAACAUUGCCAAAAGCCUUAACGGUUCAUUAGCUUUUACUAUACAGAAAUGCGCCAGGCCUGGUGCUAAAAUGACAUGACAAAGCACAUUUGCCAGCAAUGGUCAAAGGAAAAAGCUCUGCUCUCUGGGCUUCUGGGCUGCUGCUUAAGCAUUUGGAACAGGGGAAAAAUACCUCUGUCUCUCCAUUGGGAGGCCCAGGCUGGUUGGAAUCUGACAAGGACUUAUAACUUCAGGAACUUUGUUCAGGGGUUUGGUUUCUUCCCCUGGAUUCCCCCUGCAUGCUGAUGGAUGUUUUCUUCCUGAAUAUUUUUUGAUACUUUGACUAUUUGUGUGGUUUGUGAGUUACAUAUUGGGAGGGGAUCAGGAGAGAGAAAGGAGCCGAGAGAGAGCACGAAAGAAGCAGAGAGAGAUACACAGAGAAACAAAGAAAGAGGGGAAAGAAGAAGAAAAAGAAAUACAAUUGUAAGUAAAUGGAAAAGAGCAGGGUGGAAAGUCAGGCAAGGAUAGAGGGUAGUAGGACCCCAGGUCAGACCUCACCCUUCUUUUUGGUUCCUUAUACUCAAGGAUGGUGGAAGCACCCUUCAAAGAGUAUUUACAAAGUACCCCCCUUACGUCCUAUAGGAAGCACAUAACUAACACCUUUGGUCUCACCCUUCACCCCUAAUAACUCCUUGCCCACUCUCACCAUGAAAUCUCACCCCAGUAUUUCUUUCACUUUCCAUCAGUCUGGCUCAGGGGCGCUUCCAUUUAAUGGUAAUUUAUGGUAAAUGCCAAUUUAUGGAACAACUUUUCAGUGGUUGGAGUAAUUAAGAUCUCGUCUCUGAGCAAGUUUGAUGAUUAUAAUACCAUUGUCUGUAUUCACUCCACUAUGCACUAGACCUCUCACACUCACUUACUGCUCAUCACAAGUUUGUACCCCAUCUGUCCUAACCCCCACCUGCAACCCCUGGUAACCACCAGUUUACUCUCUGUUUUUACAAAUUUGGCUAAAGGAAAUUAUAAUUAUGUGACCAGGUAGAGGUACUAAUUAUCACUACAAUACAAUCAUAUUACAGUAUAUACAUGUUUGAAGUCAACACACUGUGCAACUUAAAUUUAAGAUGUAUAGUAAUUAUAGUGAUUUACUUAACAGUAAAGUAACGUUAGAUGUCAAAUUUCAAUAAAAGAAAAGCUUUCUGAGGCUAUUAGAGCCCCACUUAAACUCUUUAAGAUUCUGCCUUCUGUUCAUUUCUCUGUAAGAUUUCAUCCGGUGCUUCUGACCCCUCCCCACUCCAUCCAAGGUCAGGAUCCCAUGUUAAAAUAGCUUUGGAAAGCUACUAAAAUUUUGAGCCCUUGACCCAGAUGAUUCUGAUCCACAGGACAGUUUGAGAAUUUAAGGAAGGCCAGAGCUUCAGGCUUCCCAAAUUCUUUCUUCUUCAAGACCCUGCUCAAAAGAUCAGACACUCCCCACCCUCAACACAUAGUGUCAUGUCCAGAGCCUCGGCCAUAUGCUGACACAUAUCACUGCAACUCUCCAGCCAUACACUUUCUCAUCUAAAAGCAGGAGACAGCACCUAAGCCAGUAAUGGGAACAGGGACGGUAUAGGUAACAUACUAGCCAGCCUGGUGGAAAUUAGGGGAGGCUAGAGGCUGCAUAUUCUGAUUAAGGGGACAGCUGCUUCUCUGUCACAGUCAAUUGUGGCUGGGUGGGCAUGCCACCCUGAGAUGACAAAUAACUCUGAAUUUUUCAGGAAUGCCAGAAAUCUGGAUUUUUAUGUAAAUUUUUCUGGUUUUUAAAUUCCAGGUAAAAUUUUAUUAAGGGGCCAAGCCAAAUAUAUGCAGGGGUCCCAUUCAGGCCAUGAGUCCAUAUUUGCAACCUCCAGACUAAGACUAGGGAUCGCUAGGGUUGCCUACAGCAUAGUGAUUCUGGGAUAUGUUGACACUCAACCUCCCUGGCUUGAUAGUUGUUCUGUCACUGGUUGGAGCUUCUCUGCUGUUCCUGUUCCUUUCCAGAAAAUCCAAAGUUUCUGACUGCCCUCCAGCUCUAAUAAAGGGGAACCUCAUUGCUGUCAGGCUCUCAACCUUUAGCACACAUCAAAACCACCCGGAAGGAUGGUUAAAACAGAUGGCCAGGCCCCACCCCCAAAGUUGCUCACUUGGGAGGUCUGAGGUAGGGCCUGAGAAUCUGCACUUCUAACCGGAUCCCUGGCAGUGCUGAUGCUGCCAGUCCAGGGCCGGUCAGCACUUUGAGAGCCACUGCUAUAGUGCAUUGCUCACUCUCUACCAUGUUUCCUUUCUCCUUAGAGCAGUACUUAGACCUUAGCUUCACUUGCAUUCCCCAGUCACUUCAUACAGCAGUUACUCGGAGCUUUCCAUUGUGACAAUCAUAACUGUCAUUUCGAGUGUUUACUGUGUGCCAGCCAUUUACCUAAGCCCAUACCAUAUUAACUCUAAUCUUCACUGUGACCCUUUUAGGAAGGCAUUGUCACCCCUGAUUUCUACAUGAAGGGACUGAAGCCCAGAGAAGUUACAUAACUUGCCCAAAGACACAUAGUUAGUGAGUAGCCGAGCCAGAUUCCAAGCCCAAAAUGUAUGACUCCAAGGCCCAUAGUCUUCAUGGACCAAGCUGGGACACUUUUGAGAGUGAGACACUAUUCAUAAUUAUGCUUAGACAACAGACAGAAACCAGGACUAGCGUAGGCAAACUAGGACAUAAGGUUAACCUAAGUAUUCUGUUAUGUCCGAGACACUCUACAACUUCGUGAAAGGGAGCCGACUUUGUGGGAGUCGAAUUCGCAGCCCAGUGCCUGCUCUCCAUGGCAGGAACUCAGCAGAUGACUGUGUCCUGCAGUCAGGCAUCUGAAGCCUUCCUGGGGAAUAUAGGCAAGAGUAAUAGAUAGCCCUGAUUGCUGAGACCCUCAUGAUAUAGUUGAUGGAAAAAAAGAAAAUAUAUGAAAACUCUUAAAUGAUCAUGCAAAGACUUUAAGAAUCUAGGGUUGAUUGCAGAGAUGGUGACUCCCUCAAGGUUUUAUAUUUUGAAAGGGAAGUGGAGUUUGAGCUGAGUCUUGCAGACUGAGUACAAGAUGGGAAGGCUGGGAUUGGGUUUAGCUACAGAAAGACAAAGAAUUUGUGCAGAAGCCAAAGAGAGGCUUAGAAGCAUCUAUGUGACUGAACGCUAUUGGAUGUUUUCAUUUCAUUCCGACCUUUGUAAUACAACCUUUACAGGUCUAAACAGAGAAAUACCUUUUUGUUUUGUUUUUUCUUGGUUUUGCAUACUCAGUCACUAUUUUGCACCCACAAACUCCUAGAGGAGCCAGAUGCAGACCUUCCUCCUGAAUUGAGGCACAGAAGUACAGAGAAAUUUCUGAGGGGAACUGGCCUGUGGUUUUCAAGAACUUCUGCAUUUAGGAAUUUUGAACAAAAUUCUGCCCAUCAGAAUGGUUUUUACAGUAAAAGGAACAGUUUCUGGGUACUUAGUCCCCCUGAUUUAUGUAAAAAGAAGGGCAGUUUCAUCGUACUUAGUCUCAGUCCCGCGUGGGAAAAUUCUCAAUAGCUCAACACUACCCUCUAGUGGGCAAAAUGGCAGAGACGGGAAUCCGAGAGCUUUCAUGACAACGCCCGCUGAAGACUGGAGAAGAAAGGUGAAAGGAAAGAAACACAAGUCUUAAAUCUGCAGAAGGCCCAUAAAUUAGUGAAUAUCCAUGUUCCCUAAGAAAUAGACAAAAAUGCUUCCCUGAUAAAAAGGUCUAAGACGGUGCUUCCCAUAGAAUAUACGUUUCUGUUAAGCCCCAGUCCCAGGAGAUAACUGUUCACACAGCCCUUCCAAGGACCCAUGGUUAAGUAAGUUAGGAGGCCUCUGCACACCAUGUUCCCCAAGCUCCUGUUACAGAAUCACAGUGUUUAGUAAAGGCUUGAAUAGUAAAAGAUCUGGGAAGUUAUGCAGCAAUGAGAUUCCGUUUCUCACACAUAUCUGACCACUGAACUUUUUCUGUUUUGUUUUCCCAUAAAUCCAUGUCAUCUCCUGGGACAACUGCUUGUGGAGCAUACUUUGGACAACGCUAAAGGAAAAAAUACAAAGGUUCUUACUUUUACAGAUAAGGAAAUGAAAACUCAGAGAUGCUAAGUGGAGGGACGUUCACCCAGCACCCUGGGGCCCCUUCCUCCAGCCAGCACCGUAGGCUGCCGCUGGGUCACGUGGAGUCCCUUGCCAGGAGAAGAAGCUGCUUCCUGGAUAGCCACAUACACUCCUCAAGGGCUAAGCAGGGUCAUCACCACAAAGACGCCUUCCAUGACCAUCCGAUAUAAGAAAAGAAAGCAGAAUUCCAGCUGGAGCUGAGAUCAUCCAUUCACUGACCUGGAACUUCUCGGACAGCUUGGAGAAAGAGAUGGGACUCUACAUCAAGGUCAGAAAGAGCACUGGUAAUACUGUGGACACCAAGGCCUCCCUAAGAAAUCCCUGGGAGGCAGAGUGAGAGCCAUGCUGGUCUUGCAAAAACUUGCUCAGCUGGUACUGCUUCCUCUCUCGAGUCAGGCAGGUAGGAGUCUGGAUAAAAAUUCUAGGAGGUUGGGAAGGGAAUGUGAUAUAUAUAGAGAGAGAAUUAGGUUAGGUUAUCAGCCAUCCUUGCUACCACAAAUAGGCUCGUCACUCCCAGACCCACUCCUUUUAUGGUUUAAUUCUGCAAAAAGAUGGUCAGUCUGCUCUAGUGAUGAGCAACUUGGGGGGAGUUCUGGAGUCAUUCAUUAUCAGCCGGAGAGCAAAGCCUCUUGGGGGAAUUUAUUAGUGACCCCUAGUGGUCGGAGGUGAGAUUUCAUCAGCGAUGGGGUUUACCAGGACAGACUGGAGGGCUUGGAGGAUGGAAAAAAAAGAGAUUCUAGUUAUAGACCUGAGCACAGCCUGAAACAGGGUUGCCCUUGGAUGCAAGUAAAAGUUAUUUUGGGGUUUGCAAAAUUUUACCAAGGAGGGAGUGAAAUGGGGGUAUAUUUGGAAAAUAAAAAUGUGCUUUACUCUUGCUUUUGCCGG